rnacentral:lncRNA from 1 species
UCCAAGCUUGCAUACAUCCAAAAGCUUCUUGAUAUCCUUAGUUCUUCAUGUGGCAUUUCUGGUUCAGAGAAAACAGAGAAAGGAUCAGGAUGCAUGUAGUUCAACAUCAGAAUUUUCAUCUUCCACUUUGUGCAUAAUGAAAUAAAACGGACUAACAGGGAAGUGUCUAGUGCAACAAUAGUCAAGUGGUAACAUUUCAGGAUAAUAUAAAUACAUUGCUUAACAUGUCAAUGAGGCUAGGCAUAGAUAGAAAGUGCAUACAUCUAAGUAACUAGCAGCUCCAAGUAACUAAAAUAUUCUAAGCAAUUAUCAUGAAUGAUAAAACACUAAAAAGAAGAGACUUACCCGCAGAUUUCUGAGCAACAUGUAUAGGCUGUUGACGUCCUUGGUCUUCUUCUUGACAAGCCGCACAGAUCUACGGGUCUCCAAAUUGCCAUCGUUUGGUGCUGCGUCCAUUUCCACUUGAAUUUGCGUCUCUUUUUCCACUUGCAUUUGUGCCUCUUGCUGAUCUUGCAUUGAUGGAUCAUCUUCCUUGUCCCCAAAUACUCUGAAUUGUGAUCAU